rnacentral:sRNA from 1 species
GUAGCUGAGUUUGCCCAAGGGAAAUUUGUAUAAAGAGCCCUGGAGUCCUGACCAGCUCCUUACCUCUUGCAGAUCUCCAGCACCCUGCCGGUGGCACUACUGAGAGACGAGGUGCCAGGGUGGUUCCUGAAAGUGCCUGAGCCCCAACUUAUCAGCAAGGAGCUCAUCAUGCUGACAGAAGUCAUGGAGGUCUGGCAUGGCUUAGUGAUCGCGGCGGUGUCCCUCUUCCUGCAGGCCUGCUUCCUCACCGCCAUCAACUACCUGCUCAGCAGGCACAUGGGUAACUGGCUCAGCAUCCUCUUCCCUCCUAGUCACUCUCAGAGACCAUUCUCGAGCCUCCAGCAGGACAAGACCCCGUUGGAGUUCCCAAACGUCACUCAAAAACCUACCAGAGGACCCACCGGCCAAAUUCCUUCCCACCGCUCCCCCUCCCCCCAAUAACUGUAUCUGGGUAAUCCCCACUCUGACCUCACCUUUUAACCAACUACUUCUGGCUGGAAGUGGCCAUCCACAUCCGUCUACUACCCAGACCUUCUGCCUAGACACAGCUUUUGCAAUGCCUUCGAGGAAGUGCUCGUGUAACCUGGUCUAAUUAAUUUUCUUCAUCCCUGUUAAAGGACUGAAUAUGAAGAAAUG